rnacentral:rRNA from 1 species
ACGGAGGGUGCGAGCGUUAAUCGGAAUUACUGGGCGUAAAGCGCACGUAGGCGGAUUUGUAAGUCAGAGGGGAAAGCCAACGGCUCAACCGUGGAACUGCCUCUGAUACUGCAGAGCUUGAGUUCGGGAGAGGGUGGUGGAAUUCCAGGUGUAGGAGUGAAAUCCGUAGAGAUCUGGAGGAACAUCAGUGGCGAAGGCGACCACCUGGCCCGAUACUGACGCUGAGGUGCGAAAGCGUGGGUAGCAAACAG